rnacentral:rRNA from 1 species
AAUAGAUACCCGGGUAGUCCACGCCGUAAACGAUGAGUGCUAAGUGUUAGAGGGUUUCCGCCCUUUAGUGCUGCAGCUAACGCAUUAAGCACUCCGCCUGGGGAGUACGGUCGCAAGACUGAAACUCAAAGGAAUUGACGGAGGCCCGCACAAGCGGUGGAGCAUGUGGUUUAAUUCGAAGCAACGCGAAGAACCUUACCAGGUCUUGACAUCCUCUGACAACUCUAGAGAUAGAGCGUUCCCCUUCGGGGGACAGAGUGACGGGUGGUGCAUGGUUGUCGUCAGCUCGUGUCGUGAGAUGUUGGGUUAAGUCCCGCAACGAGCGCAACCCUUGAUCUUAGUUGCCAGCAUUUAGUUGGGCACUCUAAGGUGACUGCCGGUGACAAACCGGAGGAAGGUGGGGAUGACGUCAAAUCAUCAUGCCCCUUAUGACCUGGGCUACACACGUGCUACAAUGGAUGGUACAAAGGGCUGCGAGACCGCGAGGUCAAGCCAAUCCCAUAAAACCAUUCUCAGUUCGGA